UACGGAGGGGGCUAGCGUUGUUCGGAAUUACUGGGCGUAAAGCGCGCGUAGGCGGAUCUGCAAGUCGGGGGUGAAAUCCCGAGGCUCAACCUCGGAACUGCCUUCGAUACUGCGGGUCUCGAGUCCGGGAGAGGUGAGUGGAAUUCCUAGUGUAGAGGUGAAAUUCGUAGAUAUUAGGAAGAACACCAGUGGCGAAGGCGGCUCACUGGCACGGUACUGACGCUGAGGCGCGAAAGCGUGGGGAGCAAACAGG
rnacentral:rRNA from 1 species